UUGUGUCAGAGUGUGUGUUGUGUGUGGAUGAUAGUGGGCUACAAGAUUGUCUUCGGGGGUGGGACAAGCUUGACGGUGGAAAACAGUAGGAUUUUUUAUAAAUACUGUAGCUAGUAUUUUUUUUUAUCACUGAUCACAUAUUUACUUGUCUUUCUCUGCUUGAUUCCUUUUGGAUUAUCCAGCUGCUUUUUUGUUGUGUAUCACAUCUUAGCAUAUGGCAACACGUUGAGUGUGUAGAUAAAAAUGUACCCAGCUUUUUUGAUGCAAACAUGGAGGAACAUGCUUCACGACGUCAUAUAUACACAGCGAAGGGUGUCUAGACGACAUGGAUGACAUAAAAGUCAAGUGGGACGAGGAAUGAUCCUCUGAGGAGCGCCACUGUGCAGAGGCCAACACCUGUGAAAAAUUCCCCUGAGGAACACCAUUGUGGAGAGACUUACACCUGCGAAAAAGCUUAAAAACAAAUUUCCCUUUUUGUUAUUCAAAUUUGAAGACGAUAAGAAAAUCGUUAAUGAGUUUGGUCUUCGGACAUCUGGAUGUGAAACUAGAUUGAGUGUAGAAACUGGUGAGUAAAAAAGAGAGAAUAGUGCAGUUGUUGGCUCAAAUGAAUGGAAAGUUGGAAUUUUGUUGCCAAGAUGUUCUGGUUGUGCAACAGGUCAGAACAUGUUGUCCAAAUGUUACCUGUUUUGUGUCGAACUCCCACAUGUUCAAAAGCAACACAUCGAACAGCGCAAUCUUCUCGCCCAAUUGUCACGAUGUGUUUUCCCUGCUUAACGAGAGACUGCGGUCGGUGUUUAGCGGAAGAUUUUGAGCCGUCCUUCUACAAACUUGAGGCGGGCAACCUGAAGGCGUGCCUCGCCGCCGGCUUCGGCCGACACAACGCCACGGCGAAGGCGGGAAAAGGACACCUGUUCGAGGAGUCGCACGCCGUGCGGAUAUCGGACGACUCGCUAUACAACCAGGUGGCACUGCUGUCAGCCGCACAUAACGACACGUGCGAGGAAGGUGACGGGGGACCAGGGUGGCGCCCGGACGCUUUGGUGCCAGACGAGAAGGUGAACCUCCUCUCCGUCACCGUCCUCGGCCUCCGCCUGGUUUUCGCCAAGACGCUCGCCAUCAACUGUGUCAUGACGCUGCGCCUGUGGUUUGGCGCACCUGAGUAGCCAGUGCCACACCACCACCUUCCGCUUCCUCCUGUGUUUGUGAUUGAAUUUGGAGGUUUUCUUCAUCUCAGUGAGCAAUCAAAUGUGCUAUUAAAUCAACAAAAGUUCAAUAAAAGGAGAUUGUAAGAAAAA